AACGAACGCUGGCGGCAUGCCUAACACAUGCAAGUCGAACGAGACCUUCGGGUCUAGUGGCGCACGGGUGCGUAACACGUGGGAAUUUGCCUCGGGGUAUGGAAUAACUCAGGGAAAUUUGAGCUAAUACCGGAUAAUGUCUUCGGACCAAAAGAUUUAUCGCCUUUAGAUGGGCCCGCGUUGGAUUAGCUAGUUGGUGGGGUAAAGGCCUACCAAGGCGACGAUCCAUAGCUGGUCUGAGAGGAUGAUCAGCCACACUGGGACUGAGACACGGCCCAGACUCCUACGGAGGCAGCAGUGGGGAAUAUUGGACAAUGGGCGAAAGCCUGAUCCAGCAAUGCCGCGUGAGUGAUGAA
rnacentral:rRNA from 1 species